rnacentral:rRNA from 1 species
GAUUAAGUUAUUAAGGGCGCACGGUGGAUGCCUUGGCACUAGAAGCCGAUGAAGGACGUUACUAACGACGAUAUGCUUUGGGGAGCUGUAAGUAAGCUUUGAUCCAGAGAUUUCCGAAUGGGGAAACCCAGCAUGAGUUAUGUCAUGUUAUCGAUAUGUGAAUACAUAGCAUAUCAGAAGGCACACCCGGAGAACUGAAACAUCUUAGUACCCGGAGGAAGAGAAAGAAAAUUCGAUUCCCUUAGUAGCGGCGAGCGAAACGGGAAGAGCCCAAACCAACAAGCUUGCUUGUUGGGGUUGUAGGACACUCUAUACGGAGUUACAAAGGACGACAUUAGACGAAUCAUCUGGAAAGAUGAAUCAAAGAAGGUAAUAAUCCUGUAGUCGAAAAUGUUGUCUCUCUUGAGUGGAUCCUGAGUACGACGGAGCACGUGAAAUUCCGUCGGAAUCUGGGAGGACCAUCUCCUAAGGCUAAAUACUCUCUAGUGACCGAUAGUGAACCAGUACCGUGAGGGAAAGGUGAAAAGCACCCCGGAAGGGGAGUGAAAUAGAACCUGAAACCGUGUGCUUACAAGUAGUCAGAGCCCGUUAAUGGGUGAUGGCGUGCCUUUUGUAGAAUGAACCGGCGAGUUACGAUUUGAUGCAAGGUUAAGCAGUAAAUGUGGAGCCGUAGCGAAAGCGAGUCUGAAUAGGGCGUUUAGUAUUUGGUCGUAGACCCGAAACCAGGUGAUCUACCCUUGGUCAGGUUGAAGUUCAGGUAACACUGAAUGGAGGACCGAACCGACUUACGUUGAAAAGUGAGCGGAUGAACUGAGGGUAGCGGAGAAAUUCCAAUCGAACCUGGAGAUAGCUGGUUCUCUCCGAAAUAGCUUUAGGGCUAGCCUCAAGUGAUGAUUAUUGGAGGUAGAGCACUGUUUGGACGAGGGGCCCCUCUCGGGUUACCGAAUUCAGACAAACUCCGAAUGCCAAUUAAUUUAACUUGGGAGUCAGAACAUGGGUGAUAAGGUCCGUGUUCGAAAGGGAAACAGCCCAGACCACCAGCUAAGGUCCCAAAAUAUAUGUUAAGUGGAAAAGGAUGUGGCGUUGCCCAGACAACUAGGAUGUUGGCUUAGAAGCAGCCAUCAUUUAAAGAGUGCGUAAUAGCUCACUAGUCGAGUGACACUGCGCCGAAAAUGUACCGGGGCUAAACAUAUUACCGAAGCUGUGGAUUGUCCUUUGGACAAUGGUAGGAGAGCGUUCUAAGGGCGUUGAAGCAUGAUCGUAAGGACAUGUGGAGCGCUUAGAAGUGAGAAUGCCGGUGUGAGUAGCGAAAGACGGGUGAGAAUCCCGUCCACCGAUUGACUAAGGUUUCCAGAGGAAGGCUCGUCCGCUCUGGGUUAGUCGGGUCCUAAGCUGAGGCCGACAGGCGUAGGCGAUGGAUAACAGGUUGAUAUUCCUGUACCACCUAUAAUCGUUUUAAUCGAUGGGGGGACGCAGUAGGAUAGGCGAAGCGUGUGAUUGGAUUGCACGUCUAAGCAGUAAGGCUGAGUAUUAGGCAAAUCCGGUACUCGUUAAGGCUGAGCUGUGAUGGGGAGAAGACAUUGUGUCUUCGAGUCGUUGAUUUCACACUGCCGAGAAAGCCUCUAGAUAGAAAAUAGGUGCCCGUACCGCAAACCGACACAGGUAGUCAAGAUGAGAAUUCUAAGGUGAGCGAGCGAACUCUCGUUAAGGAACUCGGCAAAAUGACCCCGUAACUUCGGGAGAAGGGGUGCUCUUUAGGGUUAACGCCCAGAAGAGCCGCAGUGAAUAGGCCCAAGCGACUGUUUAUCAAAAACACAGGUCUCUGCUAAACCGUAAGGUGAUGUAUAGGGGCUGACGCCUGCCCGGUGCUGGAAGGUUAAGAGGAGUGGUUAGCUUCUGCGAAGCUACGAAUCGAAGCCCCAGUAAACGGCGGCCGUAACUAUAACGGUCCUAAGGUAGCGAAAUUCCUUGUCGGGUAAGUUCCGACCCGCACGAAAGGCGUAACGAUUUGGGCACUGUCUCAACGAGAGACUCGGUGAAAUCAUAGUACCUGUGAAGAUGCAGGUUACCCGCGACAGGACGGAAAGACCCCGUGGAGCUUUACUGUAGCCUGAUAUUGAAAUUCGGCACAGCUUGUACAGGAUAGGUAGGAGCCUUUGAAACGUGAGCGCUAGCUUACGUGGAGGCGCUGGUGGGAUACUACCCUAGCUGUGUUGGCUUCUAACCCGCACCACUUAUCGUGGUGGGAGACAGUGUCAGGCGGGCAGUUUGACUGGGGCGGUCGCCUCCUAAAAGGUAACGGAGGCGCUCAAAGGUUCCCUCAGAAUGGUUGGAAAUCAUUCAUAGAGUGUAAAGGCAUAAGGGAGCUUGACUGCGAGACCUACAAGUCGAGCAGGGUCGAAAGACGGACUUAGUGAUCCGGUGGUUCCGCAUGGAAGGGCCAUCGCUCAACGGAUAAAAGCUACCCCGGGGAUAACAGGCUUAUCUCCCCCAAGAGUUCACAUCGACGGGGAGGUUUGGCACCUCGAUGUCGGCUCAUCGCAUCCUGGGGCUGUAGUCGGUCCCAAGGGUUGGGCUGUUCGCCCAUUAAAGCGGUACGCGAGCUGGGUUCAGAACGUCGUGAGACAGUUCGGUCCCUAUCCGUCGUGGGCGUAGGAAAUUUGAGAGGAGCUGUCCUUAGUACGAGAGGACCGGGAUGGACAUACCUCUGGUGUACCAGUUGUCGUGCCAACGGCAUAGCUGGGUAGCUAUGUGUGGACGGGAUAAGUGCUGAAAGCAUCUAAGCAUGAAGCCCCCCUCAAGAUGAGAUUUCCCAACUUCGGUUAUAAGAUCCCUCAAAGAUGAUGAGGUUAAUAGGUUCGAGGUGGAAGCAUGGUGACAUGUGGAGCUGACGAAUACUAAUCGAUCGAAGACUUAAUCAA